AAGAGACAAGGAAGCAUCCUUGUCUAGCGGCUUCAGAGGGAGCAUGACUUUGCCUGUGCCUUGAUUUUGGACUUCUACCUUCUAGAACUGUGAAACAACAAACUUCUAUUGCUUCGAGCCACCCAGUUUGGGGCACUUUGUUCGAGCAGCCUUUGAAAACUAAUAUCAACUUCGGUGUCUGCUCAGGACAGAAUGGCGACCACGGAGAAUUCUGGACGGGGCGGAGGAAGAGAUUGCUCCCUUCUGUACUUUGAGCGGCAGCAAAGGGCUAUGACCAAUGCCCUCCUGGAUGCAGAAGGAGGCACUGGCCUCAUUAUAUGCAUACACCAUGACUGCUGUCUUAAACUCCAAUACUGCUGAACAAUUCAGAAAUAGAUCCAUUAUAGGUCUGCUUUAGCCCCAGGGCUUUAACACGGGUCACUAGAAAAUCCAAGAUUGCACAGUAAUUCAAACUCUUAAGAGGGAAAGGAAAAAAAAAAUUCUCUUCAGCACUCCCGCCCGCCCAGAGUCCCUCCCUCCAGCAUCACAGGGAGCCCCUCUUCAUUUCCGUAGUGCUUUAGAAUAAAUAGCUCUUAUGUUGAACUUGAAAUCUAAAUUUUUCGCCAGCUAUUAAUUGAUAAGAGAAGCUCGUUUUACCUCUCAUGCUCUGUAGUAAGAUUACGGUGUAAAUAAACUGGGUCAGGUUUAGCAGGAUGGAGGUGAACUGUUCUCUAAUUCCCCUUAAUCUCUGGUAAAGGAAUAACUAGGAUUUGAACGUCAACAUUCAAUAAGCAAUUAUGGCACUCCUUCAAGCAUGAUCCAAAUUAGUCUGCUGUUCCCUCAAAUAGAAUCCAAAGGACCUCCAAACCGUGCUCUUCGAUUGCAACCUCCUUGUUUUGUUCUAACCGGUGAGAGGAGUCAGGAUUGCAGGAGGGAUUUGAUUUGAUUUAUAUUAAUUUUUAGAGUAUCAGGGAUCUCUUGUUUUACUUGAAACAGAUCAGGGAACGGGGUCAGUAAACAAGGGUUUUCUCGACUACUGAUCUCGACUACUGAUCAUCACUCAGCAUUUCAUGAGGCUGGCUUCUAGCUUUCACAGUGCAUUAGAAUCAUUAUCUAAUUAUUAAUCUCACCCUAGAGUUCUGAGGAGCUUAUGACACCCGUUGAAGUUAAUGAAGGCUUUUACCUGUGGAUCUGGCACUAAAUUGCUCUGAUUGACCGAGUGCCCACAAUAUGGUAGGCACUGAUAGAAUUGACAGAGGGGAAAAAGAAUUAAACGGAAGGAAAUUAAGAAGAGGAAGAAGGAGAAGGCGUCAGAGAGGAGGAGGGGCGAGAAACCAAAAGGAGAUUGUAACUUCAAAACACCUCGUUAGGAAAAUGGGGCAGUUAAGGAAGAACUCACCAAGUAAUCUGCUUAAACUUUAAUUAAUUAUUCAUUUAUAUAUAUUUAUGUGGCACACUUUCUCUAGGGAAACCAAUGUGCUUUGCAAACAUAUUAAAUAAUUAACUCCCUCAAA